rnacentral:rRNA from 1 species
CCUACGGGUCGCAGCAGUGGGGAAUAUUGGACAAUGGGCGAAAGCCUGAUCCAGCCAUGCCGCGUGUGUGAAGAAGGCCUUCGGGUUGUAAAGCACUUUCAGUGGGGAAGAAAGCCUUGGGGCUAAUACCCUCGAGGAAGGACAUCACCCACAGAAGAAGCACCGGCUAACUCCGUGCCAGCAGCCGCGGUACUACGGAGGGUGCGAGCGUUAAUCGGAAUUACUGGGCGUAAAGCGCGCGUAGGCGGUCUGAUAAGCCGGUUGUGAAAGCCCCGGGCUCAACCUGGGAACGGCAUCCGGAACUGUUAGGCUAGAGUGCAGGAGAGGAAGGUAGAAUUCCCGGUGUAGCGGUGAAAUGCGUAGAGAUCGGGAGGAAUACCAGUGGCGAAGGCGGCCUUCUGGACUGACACUGACGCUGAGGUGCGAAAGCGUGGGUAGCAAACAGGAUUAGAUACCCCAGUAGUC